UUUCAGUUGCUUGCAUAGUUACUAAUUUAUGCCUAGUGGUAUGGUCCAUUUGCAUUCUGCAUUUAGGCAAUAACACAUGUGUACAACUUGUGGUCAAAAAGCAACUUGAGAUCAUAGUACUUAGUACUAAGUGAUGUUCCAAAGUAAGUUUUACCACUGACUAGCUUCUCAAAUUCUCCUCUUGAA